rnacentral:rRNA from 1 species
CCUACGGGUGGCAGCAGUGAGGAAUAUUGGUCAAUGGCCGGAAGGCUGAACCAGCCAUGCCGCGUGAAGGUCAGUGCCCUAUGGGCGUUAAACUUCUUUUGUGCGGGAGCAAUAAUGGUCACGUGUGGCCAGACGAGAGUACCGUACGAAUAAGCAUCGGCUAACUCCGUGCCAGCAGCCGCGGUAAUACGGGGGAUGCAAGCGUUAUCCGGAUUUAGUGGGUUUAAAGGGUGCGUAGGCUGUGAGGUAAGUCAGCGGUGAAAUGCCCCCGCUCAACGGGGUGAAGUGCCAUUGAUACUGCCUUGCUGGAAUGCGGAUGCCGUGGGAGGAAUGUGUGGUGUAGCGGUGAAAUGCAUAGAUAUCACACAGAACACCGAUUGCGAAGGCAGCCUACUAAACUGCCACUGACAUUGAUGCUCGAAAGUGUGGGUAUCAAACAGGAUUAGAUACCCGGGUAGUC